GGGGGUGACCGGUUUUGACAGCAGGCAGAGUUUGGAUGUAAGCACGUCGAGCGUUGUGUGGAGGUGCUCGUAAAAGUGAACACUCAAAAAUCAAAUGGCGAAUCAAGCUAUGCACUCGCUGCGUAAUUUUACCGAGUAAAAUUGCCUUAAUCGCCGCGCCCAAGGAGGCGUAGCGACGAGUAUCCCGCCCAAGCACCCGCUCUUUGUGCGAAAGGCAUACGGGGUAUCAUUCAUGAAGAGAUAGCUGCAGGGAGCGUCCGGACCCUGCAUGCGAAAAGAAGGACUGGGGCCCGCGGUAGGUUGCCACCUGCCAGCUGCGGGCAGAAGGAUCAAACGGUCGGCUAAGCGUGUAGAAAGCAUUCGGGUUCCCUGUUUGGACGAGGGUUCGACUCCCUCCACCUCCAC
rnacentral:tmRNA from 1 species